GAAAAUAUCUAGAUAUUUGUUAAAGUGAAAUGGAGGGCUAGGAUUGGCCUAGAGAAGUUGCCUUUUGAUCAAGUGGAUAUAAUUGAUCAUGAGCUUAUUACAUAGGAGACUUUUGACACAUUUUGUGGACUUAGAAAAUAUCACAAAACCUCUCCUCUUCUUUGUCUUGGCCGUGAGUGCCUUUUUCCAUUCCCUAACUUCACCAAAUUUUCCAUUCUUCACCAUUUGGUUCCAUUUCAAGCUUGGAAGCUCUAAGGAAAAGUGUAGAGAAUCACUUGCUUAAGAUGAUGGUGUGCCACUUGAGGCCGUUGGUCGUAAGGAUGGCGAGGACUUCGUGGAUUAUGCCGGAGAGUAGAUGGUAGCUUUGGUUAGGCUACAUUUUUGUUUAGGCUUAGGGCCUAGUUUCUUUUGGAUGACUGUAUAGUAUACUCAGACAUGUUUAGUGCCUUUUGGCCGUGCGAUACAUUCGGUUCACGAGUUCUGUUUUGUUUAGGUUUGUGAACUUGAUGUAUCCUUUUGGAAUGUAAAUUAUUCAGGUGCACACUUUGCUUCUCGGAAGCCCGUGAAAUACAAUCUUUGAUAUUGUAUAUUGAUUUCUGUUUGUAUGGUUUAAUGAAUGAGCUUGUAAA